rnacentral:lncRNA from 1 species
UUCCAUCCAAGGUUUAUCGAUCCAUGGAUUGGCAGCGAACUUAUUAGGAUUCUCUAUCUAGCUCAAUGGAUCUAAUCCUAGCAUGAAGCAUAGAUUGCAUAUGAGAGGUAACUUGAUGUAAAGAUUAAUAGUAUGAGUAAAAGUAGAUCGCAUCCAUAGAUAUAUAUGAUAACACCACCAAGGGUAGCAAGAGCCUAUCGUCUUCUAGUUGUAAUUCUAGCUAAUAAGAAAGCACAACAUGCAUCUCAUCCAAAGCAAUCUUUAAAUUACUACCUCCGAUCAACCUCCCGAAAACUCC